UACGAAGGGGGCUAGCGUUGCUCGGAAUCACUGGGCGUAAAGGGUGCGUAGGCGGGUCUUUAAGUCAGGGGUGAAAUCCUGGAGCUCAACUCCAGAACUGCCUUUGAUACUGAGGAUCUUGAGUUCGGGAGAGGUGAGUGGAACUGCGAGUGUAGAGGUGAAAUUCGUAGAUAUUCGCAAGAACACCGGUGGCGAAGGCGGCCCGCUGGGGUGGAGCUGACGCUGAGGCGCGACAGCGUGGGGAGCAAACAGG
rnacentral:rRNA from 1 species